AUUGAACGCUGGCGGCAUGCCUUACACAUGCAAGUCGAACGGCAGCACGGGAGCAAUCCUGGUGGCGAGUGGCGAACGGGUGAGUAAAGUAUCGGAACGUGCCCAGUCGUGGGGGAUAACGUAGCGAAAGUUACGCUAAUACCGCAUACGAUCUAUGGAUGAAAGAGGGGGAUAGCAAGACCUCGCGCGAUUGGAGCGGUCGAUAUCAGAGUAGGUAGUUGGUGGGGUAAAGGCUCACCAAGCCAACGAUCUGUAGCUGGUCUGAGAGGACGACCAGCCACACUGGGACUGAGACACGGCCCAGACUCCGACGGGAGGCAGCAGUGGGGAAUUUUGGACAAUGGGCGAAAGCCUGAUCCAGCCAUGCCGCGUGCAGGAUGAAGGCCUUCGGGUUGUAAACUGCUUUUGUACGGAACGAAAAGGUUUGACUUAAUACGUUGGACUCAUGACGGUACCGUAAGAAUAAGCACCGGCUAACUACGUGCCAGCCGCCGCGGUAA
rnacentral:rRNA from 1 species